rnacentral:rRNA from 1 species
UAACACGUGGAUAACCUGCCUCAAGGCUGGGGAUAACAUUUGGAAACAGAUGCUAAUACCGAUAAAACUUAGUAUCGCAUGAUAUCAAGUUAAAAGGCGCUACGGCGUCACCUAGAGAUGGAUCCGCGGUGCAUUAGUUAGUUGGUGGGGUAAAGGCUUACCAAGACGAUGAUGCAUAGCCGAGUUGAGAGACUGAUCGGCCACAUUGGGACUGAGACACGGCCCAAACUCCUACGGAAGGCAGCAG